rnacentral:rRNA from 1 species
GCCUAACACAUGCAAGUCGAACGAGAAAGUGGAGCAAUCCAUGAGUACAGUGGCGUACGGGUGAGUAACACGUGACUAACCUACCCUCAAGUGGGGAAUAACUUCGGGAAACCGAGGCUAAUACCGCAUAACAUCUACGGAUCAAAUGCGCAAGCAGCUUGAGGAGGGGGUCGCGGCUGAUUAGCUAGUUGGCGGGGUAACGGCCCACCAAGGCAAUGAUCAGUAGCCGGCCUGAGAGGGCGCACGGCCACACUGGAACUGAAACACGGUCCAGACUCCUACGGGAGGCAGCAGUGGGGAAUUUUGCGCAAUGGGGGAAACCCUGACGCAGCAACGCCGCGUGGAGGAUGAAGCCCCUUGGGGUGUAAACUCCUUUCGAUCGGGACGAUUAUGACGGUACCGGAUGAAGAAGCACCGGCUAACUCUGUGCCAGCAGCCGCGGUAAUACAGAGGGUGCAAGCGUUGUUCGGAAUUAUUGGGCGUAAAGGGUGCGUANGCGGUGCGGUAAGUCUUCUGUGAAACCUCCGGGCUUAACUCGGAGCCUGCAGGGGAAACUGCCGUGCUGG